GACGAACGCUGGCGGCGUGCUUAACACAUGCGAGUCGAACGGAAAGGCCCUGCUUUUGUGGGGUGCUCGAGUGGCGAACGGGUGAGUAACACGUGAGUAACCUGCCCUUGACUUUGGGAUAACUUCAGGAAACUGGGGCUAAUACCGGAUAGGAGCUCCUGCUGCAUGGUGGGGGUUGGAAAGUUUCGGCGGUUGGGGAUGGACUCGCGGCUUAUCAGCUUAUUGGUGGGGUAGUGGCUUACCAAGGCUUUGACGGGUAGCCGGCCUGAGAGGGUGACCGGCCACAUUGGGACUGAGAUACGGCCCAGACUCCUACGGGAGGCAGCAGUGGGGAAUAUUGCACAAUGGGCGGAAGCCUGAUGCAGCAACGCCGCGUGCGGGAUGACGGCCUUCGGGUUGUAAACCGCUUUCGCCUGUGACGAAGCGUGAGUGACGGUAAUGGGUAAAGAAGCACCGGCUAACUACGUG
rnacentral:rRNA from 1 species